GACAGAGGGUGCAAACGUUGUUCGGAAUUACUGGGCGUAAAGCGUGUGUAGGCGGCCUUGCAAGUCGGAUGUGAAAGCCCCGGGCUUAACCCGGGAAGUGCACUCGAAACUGCCUGGCUAGAGUAUCGGAGAGGUUGGUGGAAUUCUCGGUGUAGAGGUGAAAUUCGUAGAUAUCGAGAGGAACACCGGUGGCGAAGGCGGCCAACUGGACGAAUACUGACGCUGAGACACGAAAGCGUGGGGAGCAAACAGG
rnacentral:rRNA from 1 species